CAGACAAACGAAGAGAGGAAAACGAAAGCUCGUAAGCGGCAAAUCCGGAGGUCUUGGGUCGAUGGAUCGUAAAGGGAGUGUCUCCGAGGGUUAAACGAGGCCGAAGGGGAAAAUGGUUGAAGCAGUGAGGCUUCCCUCUUCUCGUUCGGCUGCGGGGAGCGAAUUCCGGGUUUCGCAAGCAGCAAUAGCUUCGAAGCAAGCGAGGUUUCCGGAGGUUUUGCUGGACCGGAGAAGGGGAUAUGUGCGAGAGGUUCAAUCAGUGGGAAGGAGGGGUUGCGAUGGGGCAAAGAAAUCAGCGACGGCAGGGGUGGUUUGGACCUGCCUUGAAAUCGACGAAGGGAAGAGGUCAGAAGAGGGGUCCGAUAAGAGAUAUGCACUCGCAAUCGAUUGAGCUGCUGAGAGGGAAGGGGAAGUGCGAGAGGCGGUGACAGGUGGAGAAAGGGGGUUGACUGGAACAUAUGGCGAACAGGGGGGUGUUUGCCUCGUGGUCUUCGAUGGAAGGACGGGUGUUUUGCUGAAACGGGGACUGAAAAAGAAGGCAAACACGAAGAGUUCCUUUUUUUUUUCUUUUUUUUUCUGAAUCUGAUCAAUUUUUAUGCUCAAGAGUUUAAUUGUUGUUUGAUUGCUUGUGAAUCAGUUAUAUACCACACAGUAUUUUCCUCAUACCUGUGUGUGAGCUGUAAUACAGGCGAAAAAUGUGGGAAGAAAAGAAAAUAGUGGAGUGCAAGAAUUCAUUUCCUUUUUGAGUGUUUCUUUGUAUAAAAUGAACUUGGAAGAAACUAUUACCUUGGCUGUCGAAUUUUACUUCAUAAUUGAUGUGAUUAUUUGACUUUA